rnacentral:rRNA from 1 species
CCUACGGGUGGCUGCAGUGGGGAAUAUUGGGCAAUGGGCGCAAGCCUGACCCAGCAACGCCGCGUGAAGGAUGAAGGCUUUCGGGUUGUAAAGUUCUUUUGUCAGGGAAGAAUAGAGGACGGUACCUGAAGAAUAAGGCACGGCUAACUACGGGCCAGCAGCCGCGGUAAUACGUAGGUGGCAAGCGGUGUCCGGAUUUACUGGGGGUAAAGGGCGUGUAGCCGGGUUGGCAAGUCAGAUGUGAAAUCCUGAGGCUUAACCGCAGAACUGCAUUUGAAACUGUUGAUCUUGAGUGCUGGAGAGGCAGACGGAAUUCCUAGUGUAGCGGUGGAAUGCGUAGAUAUUAGGAGGAACACCAGUGGCGAAGGCGGGCUGCUGGACAGUAACUGACGGUGAGGCGCGAAAGCGUGGGGAGCAAACAGGAUUAGAUACCCUAGUAGUC